AAGCAGGCUUAACACAUGCAAGUCGAGCGGGCGUAGCAAUACGUCAGCGGCAGACGGGUGAGUAACGCGUGGGAACAUACCUUUUGGUUCGGAACAACACAGGGAAACUUGUGCUAAUACCGGAUAAGCCCUUACGGGGAAAGAUUUAUCGCCGAAAGAUUGGCCCGCGUCUGAUUAGCUAGUUGGUGAGGUAACGGCUCACCAAGGCGACGAUCAGUAGCUGGUCUGAGAGGAUGAUCAGCCACAUUGGGACUGAGACACGGCCCAAACUCCUACGGGAGGCAGCAGUGGGGAAUAUUGGACAAUGGGCGCAAGCCUGAUCCAGCCAUGCCGCGUGAGUGAUGAAGGCCCUACGGUUGUAAAGCUCUUUUGUGCGGGAAGAUAAUGACGGUACCGCAAGAAUAAGCCCCGGCUAACUCCGUGCCAGCAGCCGCGGUAAUACGAAGGGGGCUAGCGUUGCUCGGAAUCACUGGGCGUAAAGGGUGCGUAGGCGGGUCUUUAAGUCAGGGGUGAAAUCCUGAGCUCAACUCCAGAACUGCCUUUGAUACUGAAGAUCUUGAGUUCGGGAGAGGUGAGUGGAAACUGC
rnacentral:rRNA from 1 species